UACGUAGGGGGCAAGCGUUGUCCGGAUUUAUUGGGCGUAAAGAGCGUGUAGGCGGCCAGGUAGGUCUGCUGUGAAAACUCGAGGCUUAACCUCGAGCUGUCGGCGGAAACCAUCUGGCUAGAGUCCGGAAGAGGAGAAUGGAAUUCCCGGUGUAGCGGUGAAAUGCGCAGAUAUCGGGAAGAACACCCGUGGCGAAGGCGGUUCUCUGGGACGGUACUGACACUGAGACGCGAAAGCGUGGGGAGCGAACAGG
rnacentral:rRNA from 1 species